rnacentral:rRNA from 1 species
AUUGCAGAAUCUCGCGAGUCAUCAAACCUUUGAACGCACCUUGCGCUGCCGGGUUAUUCCUGGCAGCAUGUUUGUUGGAGUGUCU